rnacentral:rRNA from 1 species
CGGACGGGUGCGUAACGCGUGGGAAUCUACCUUGUAGUGGGGGAUAGCCCGAAGAAAUUCGGAUUAAUACCGCAUAAUCUCUACGGAGCAAAGUGGGGGAUCCUCGGACCUCACGCUAUUAGAUGAGCCCGCGUUGGAUUAGCUUGUUGGUGGGGUAAUGGCUCACCAAGGCGGCGAUCCAUAGCUGGUUUGAGAGGAUGAUCAGCCACACUGGGACUGAGACACGGCCCAG